GAUGAAGAACGUAGCGAAAUGCGAUACGUAAUGUGAAUUGCAGAAUUCAGUGAAUCAUCGAAUCUUUGAACGCAUAUUGCGCUCUCUGGUAUUCCGGAGAGCAUGCUUGUUUGAGUAUCAGUAAACACCUCAACUUCCAUAUCUUUUUUGAAAUGGGAGUUGGACUUGAGUGAUCCCAACGCUUUUCCUCACCGAAAAGUGGCGGGUUACUUGAAAUGCAGGUGCAGCUGGACUUUUCUCUGAGCUAUAAGCAUAUCUAUUUAGUCUGCCUAAAAAACAGAUUAUUACCUUUGCUGCAGCUAACAUAAAGGAGAUUAGUUCUUGUGCCGACUGAUGCAGGAUUCACAAAGACAGGCUUCGGCCGACUUUGUAAACUCGAUCUCAAAUCAAGUAAGACUACCCGCUGAACUUAAGCAUAUCAAAAGCGGAGGA
rnacentral:misc_RNA from 1 species